rnacentral:sRNA from 19 species
CCGAACCGAUACCGGAGGACAGGCAAUCGUGCCUGUGGGGAUUUACCUGCUCUGGCAGGCGGCUGCAUUCGUGCAUCACCGUACCCCGUCAAACCUCAUCUGCGCAUCUUCCGGCGCACCGGUAUCUUUCG